rnacentral:lncRNA from 1 species
GAGUUUCAGUUCAGAUCAGGGCUGCGUAAUAUUGGAAAUAACUAACAUUGCAAUCUUUUUCAACCCUGUGAUAUAUAUUGCAAUAUUAAAAAAUAGAGGAAUUUUCACCAGAUGACCUGAAUAGCACUUUCUGCUGAAAUCUUGAGGACAGUUAACCUGCACUGAUCUUACCUCUUUUAGUGAAUGUUAGUAGAAUGGCUUCUGUCUGUCUUAGAGAUAUUUUUAGUUUGUUUCUAUUGUGCUGGGACCUGUUAUCUCUCCUCGUGGCAACAGAUGAACACAGAACAGUGUUUUGGUCGACAUCAUCCUUCUUGUAACUGAAAUAAUUCCAGAUAAGUGACAUUGCUUUUCUUUUUGCCAACAAGUCUUCAUUCUCUGUGGUUUUCUCUUGUUCGUCGCUCAUUUUGCAGUUGUUGUUGUUGUUACCUGUGUUGUGCUGAGAAACGCGUGUCCGCCGAGAAUUGCAUCCACCUUGCGGAAACAGCUUUUUAGCAGUUAUAUGCAAUAAUAAUUAAAAAAAUAAUUGUACUAGUUGAAUAGUGUAUAAUGUAUCAAAAUACACAGGAAUGUGAAGAAGUGACUAUUAUUUAGGGAGAGAGAAGGUGAGAGAGGGCUGGGGACAUGAGGUAAGUUGACCAUAGGAGACCCUUUUUUUGGCAUGCUAUAUUAUCAAGAUUACAGUUCUGUUUACACUCAUUCUGUUGGUUUGCAGGGAUGAACAACCUCUUGAAAUAUAUGCAGAUACACUAGUUAGAGACAAAGCUAGGAUUGACUUGAUGCAGUGAUCUGAAAUAUGAAAAAUGUCUCAUCUUACCCCGCUCUCUCCUAUCUGCUGUUAUAUUCAUGACUGUAUAAAUUGUUGGUCAGACCCCCCAGCUUCAAUCAUGGAGGUGUGUUUAUCAUCUCCUUUUCAAAGUAAAUACUUAAAACAACUCAAGGCGGAUCCCCCAGAUGGUCACGGCUUUGCAGAGCUGGAGAGAGAAUAAACGGCAUGAAAACGAAGAGAGUGAGUGACCUGUACCUGAAGCCAAUCCAUGAUCUUUUAGUAAAACUAACUUUUGUUCAAGAUUAACCAGCUUUUUUUUUUAGGAGGGCAGUGAAGAGAAAUAAAACAAAGACGAAAAAUGUCAGAAAGGGAGAGAGGAUUAAAGAAAGAGAGAAGAAAGGCUGAGAAGUGAGGGGGUGGAGGAGAAAAGAGAGAUGGAGACAGUAAAUGGGCAGAGAAACAGAGAAAACAUGUGAGUAUCAGGCUCUGUGUGUGUGUGUGUGUGUGUGUGUGUGUGUGUGUGUGUGUGUGUGUGUGUGUGUGUGUGUGUGUGUGUGUGUGUGUGUGUGUGUGUGUGUGAUGAUCAGAUUUGGAGGCUCAGCUGAGCAGAAGGUCUGCAGCCUCUUUGUUCCUUUCACAGCUUUAAAGGCACAGCGGGGAUGACAGCGAGCGGCGACGUGGCAUAUGGAUUAAAUCUUAAAAACAGAGACUUUAACAAACAUUUGAUCUCAGAUUCAGCCUUUUAAGCAAAUAUUGAUGAUUUUAGCAACAAAACUCGGAGUUGAGGAGCAGCAGGUUCUUCAUAAUAAUAAUCCAGGAUCUGGUCUUUGGGGUUUGGAGUUUUCUAAUGUCCAACUUCAGUCACGGCUGUAUUGACCAAUCAUGAAUCAGUAAUUUUGACCUGAAAUGAAUGGAGACGUAAAUGAUCAUACAUUUUGAGUUCAUAAUAUCAGCGUUAGCUUCCCUUAGUUCUUUGUGCGACUUGGUAUUUACAGUGAAACUGAGACUCCCAAGAAACACAUAAAAAAGGUGCUUUUAAAUUGAAUCAAACUAAGAUUUCUUAACUUGACUGUGCUGAAUUAAGCCACAAGAGUUGGUCUGAGUUGUAUCAGACCAACAAAAGGAGUCAUUUCUGAACACUUAAUACUUUCGGCACUUUGAGAUUUUUUAAUAUAAAGUGCGUUACGAAUAAAUGUAUCAUUUUAAGUUGUUGUUUAAUCAAAUGUUCUAUGUUGAUCUGUUCUCAUAACUCUAUAACUCUUUCCUGUUGAUUCGUACAGAGGAGACACAAAACCAUCUCUAACAAGCUUCUUAAUUGCCUCCAGUGUUGUCGUGGUAACCAGCGGGUUGCAUCCGACUUUGAACAGUGACACUGAGUUUAUGCACACCAAACACACACAUGUGAAGAUCAGGAUCAGUUAGCCCGAGUUAUCUGCCGUGUAAUCGCUGUGUUUAAGUUUAAUUUCAUGUGCUUAACAUUUUCACUUCUCCUCCUCCUCCUCGUUUUCUUCAUCCCUUUCUUUCUUUAUUAAUUUAAAGUGAUGAGACCCAGAGGAGAUAAGCACACACACACACACACACACACACACACACACACACACACACACACACACACACACACACACACACACGUGAACACACACUCCUGUCAGUCCUGCUGGGUGUCUUAUUAACCCUCAUUAGCCAUUUCUCUUAGAUAUUAAUGGGACCGUCUAAUGACUAACACUCCCUGCAGAGCACGCUCAGCGUGUGAGUGGGAGACAGUGUGAGGAGUGACAGGGGAAGACAGGAGGUUAGGGAUGAAGAGGGGCAGCAAACAGAUGGAAAAACAUGGACGAAAGCAAAAUAAAGGAGAGGAAAAUAGAGCUACAGUAUAGAUCAGGUCAUUGUUUCAUGAGUGUGCAUCCUCUGCUGCAGGAGUCCUCUAAGUUUUCAGCCUGUGAACGUGUGAAUGGAGUGGAAACUGCAGUGAGGGGGGUGGUUUUGAAAAGGGGAAUUAAACUCAGGUUUCUUGUUUCCUUUCCAAACUUCCCAAUUCAGAUUUAGGGUCCAGAACGUAUGGCCACACUUCACAUUUUGUGAUCUUCAGUGUAGACAUGCUCAUAACUCAAUUUUGUAGCAUGGCAACAGUGGAGGAGGUUUCCAGAGGGCAAGUUAAUAAGAAGAAAAUGGACUUGUAGAAAGGAACUCUAACCCCUAAAUUCCAUUGCGUGCUGAAUGGCAGCAAAAAGGCCAUUUGCGACGAUCGCCGCUGAUCGUUUCCAUUCAAGUUAAUGUGUCAAAUUCCACUGGCUUUUUUCUUUCCCCCCCUGCGGUUCAGCGGGCUUUGUAGCGGAUUGCCAGGGUUCUGUUUUCCUGGAUGCCGCAGCAUGCCGCAUAAAUUCAGCACAGAUUAACCCGUGCUGGAAUGGAAGUCGGGCACAGAUACAAAAUAAAACAUUGGCAGACGACGAACAGCGGUGCCGUUCCGCAUGCGUUGGAAUCUGGGGGUAAAGGGACAACAGCUAAGAUAAAGGGUUGAACGCAUCAGUCGACUCAACUCUGAUGAUCUGACUUGGACUUUGGAGACGUUAGACUCAACUUGGACUGGGGAUUCGGUGACUUGGCUGCAGCACUACCUCACAGAGUUGCAUAAAGUACAGACAGUAUCAGGCAGGAUCAAACUAAGUGAAACUGAAGUGAUUUUAGUUUUUUAAUCUGUCUUUAGUGAUGUUGAAAUCCUAAAUAUCAGCGGUAGGUUUCUGUAGGGGUCGAUCGAUUUUGGUUUUCAGGGCCUGUACAGAUUAUUAGUUCAUGAGACCGUUGAGUGAUGCGAGUGUUUUUAGAUUUGUUAAACAGGGCAGCUGUGGUCGUGUCUUUUUCUCGUGCUGCUAAGUUUGCCUCUGAAAAACUGCUGAAUGUAAAAGCACAUGAUGUCGAUUCUGCGUAGCUUGAAGCGGAUUGGUUCUUGCACUGAACGCAUUUGUGCUCCAAAAGUCCACAGCCGUGCAAGCAGCAGAAAGCAGAGCUGAGGCUGAUGGAAGUGUCAUUUUCCUGCAGGUUUUUAAUCACAAACCACCACUGGACAAUAUAAACAACUAUUAUGCAGAGUAUUUUAGAGCUUUUCUUUCAUGAAGACAGAAGAGCCCGUGCUGACAUAUUUUCCUGCUCAUGAAUGCACGUAGACCGGGUCAAUUCAGGAGCUCCAGGAUUGGCCAGGAGCUCUGCAGAAGUGUCCCCCAGCUGUGAGGCCCUCAGGCUGGGCAGCUGACACAGAGAGUGGCCCCCUCCUGAUCCCCUGGUUCGCUCUAUCUUAAAGUGAAAUGAGGCAAUAGAGAGGCAGAGAAGGAUAAUCCUGUGAAGGAUAAGACAAUAAGGAUAAGGCAGCUAAGGUGACUGUUACCAAAUUAAUCAAUAAAACAGACACAAAUGCUCAUUAUUUCCCCCUCAUUUGAGGCAGAUUUCAUUUCUGUAUUUGAGACUAAAAAAUAAGUAUUUCAUGAGGAUGGGACUCAGUUUUGUACGCCUUGAGUAGAAUUAGUGCUGUGAUGCUGAAAAAGCCUUUUAGCUGAUGGUCACAGAUUGAAGCAGAGUGUUUUUAACUGUCUGCAGUCUGAAAAAGCAGUUAUGACAGAAUAUCUUCAGGACUUAUUUUUGUACAUUUGAAGCAUCCAAGACAUGCAAUGAAAUCUUUCACUUCACAGAGUGUUACUUCAGUGGCCACAUAAUCAGAGGUGAAGGGAUGAUUAUUCACUUUAAGCAUUAUUAAUGACAAAUUGUGUGGUUAGAGGAAUGAAAUGCUUCUGUGAUGUCUGCUUGUGGGGUUUAGAGACUUAACAUCCAUCCAGAGGUGUCAUGUUGGAGGUUAGGAGUGUAGUCUUAAAGGGAUAUUCUGGCAAAAAUUAUUUUAGGGUCAAACACACCGUUACACCGAGUUAGACACGCCCUCAUGAGAUGAAUGUUGCUGACCGCUUGCUUCUCUAGUUAUAACAACUUUAGUAACAACCGCAGGAUGGCAAUACAGAGUGGUCUUACUAAAGUUGGUAUAACUACAGAAGCAAGCGAUCGACAACAUUAUCUCUCGAGGGAGUGUCUAACUCUGUGUAAUGAUGUGUUUGACCCUAGAUUAAUUUUACGCUGGAAUAUCCCUUUAAUCGCUGAAACUCUGCAGACUGCAAACCCUCUCACCAACUCUUUGCAGAUGGUAAUAAUUUACCUUCUGCACGGUUGGUGUAAAAUUUUGCAAGAGGCCUGUUUGCACGGAAAAGGACAUAUUUUGCUCCAAAUUAAUGCAUAACAGCUCAUUUAAACACAUGCGCACAACGAUGAUGAGCUGAGACACUUGUGCUCUGCAGCGCAGUUUGGGAGCAUUUAACCCUUUGAACAUGCUUUGUUGAAUUAGACAAUGUCUUUUUAGCUUAUUCACAAAGAUUUAGCAAGUUCAAAAGCUGCACGAUCAUUUUGUGCACCAGGGCCCGAGGUGUCAUAAAGAAUUCAGAGAGACUUGAGUCCAGGGAGGCCAGACUGAGUCGAUAUGUUUGCAGGAAAAAAGAGAGAAGGUUAAAGUUUCACACGAUUUGAAAAAAUGCAGAUUUAAGCGUCAAAAAAUCAACAAAAGUGUCCUGUUUGACAGAGAGAGGGGGUGGAUUUUGGGAGGGUGACGGCAGGAGGCAGAGAGCUCUGUGGAAACUCAACACAGUGACCCAGGAAAACAUACAGAGCUAAAAAUAAAAUAAAGCUCUUGUAACAUGUCAUAUUAAGAGGAUACUGAGCUAAGGAGCAUCGCAGCAGGAGAGCACAGACGCGCUAAUAAUGACAGUAAGCUAAAGCUAGCAGGCUAACAUUGUUAACAACUGGAUAACAGCAGCAGCUGAGACGACCAAAGAUGUGCAGGAUCAUCAGUGACCGGCUGGGUGGACGGCGGCCAGCGUUUCAUCUCAGUGCCUUUGAUUCGCCGUCCUCCUGCGGGCAAAGUCACUUGUGGCGCCUCCCUGAGCUUUAACCCCGCUGUAUUGGCAAUAUAAGAGUGUGAAAAAGGUCAAAGUGAAGGAGCUGGGGUAGUUACAUUGAUGCAGUGAGCUGAACACGUUUACAGCACAGAGUCAUGGAGAUAAAAAUGUGUCAGAAGCACUCAGAGUGUGUGUGUGUGUGUGUGUGUGUGUGUGUGUGUUUGUGUGUGAGUGUGAGUGUGAGAGAGAGAUCAUACUUAGGCCUACGUGUAUUUCUGAACAUGCUGCAGAUCAGUGGAGCAUUAACAGAGAUACAUGCUUACAUGGUACAUCACACACAUACACACUGUAAUCAUACCAAUACACAUGCAGUCAUGGAUUAGUAAUUUUACACACAUAUAUACACACACACUGAGCACAGAUGUACAAGUAACACUCCUGCUGUAAAUCCGUGUUGUGGUAAAUUAAGAUCCUGGGUCAGUAUCUUCUUACACUGAGGAUGUUUGUGAUGCAUGAAAAUCUCCAGAUAGAUGUGUGUAUCUAAUUUCCAUGAGCCAUCCGGCUGUGCAGCUCGAUAGCUGUAGAAAUACAUUUAUUUUUAUCCCGCGAACCAGUGUCGUUGUAGUACUCGAAGUUCUAGAUUUGGGCUUGAGUCCAGAUUUUCAGGUCUUGUGGCUCAACUUGGAGUCAAGCUCUGAUGACAAAGGUUCUGAUUUAUAGGAUCAGUGGCAAGAUGUCAGGUGUGGAUGAGAUUCCCCCUGAGAUGCUGAAGGCUCUGGACUGUGAGAGGUGAUACGAGUCUACGAUGUUGCACCGAGGUCAGAGGGACCAGAGAGUGAGCUCCCAUUAAAACCUGAACCUAGAAUUUUGGAAAGGAGGCUCUGAUAGAUGGUCGAACCCCAGAUACAGGAGGAGCACUAUGGUUUUCGUCCUGGCCUUGGUACACUGGAUCAACUCUUUACCCUUGCAAGACUCCUGGAGGGAGUUUGCCCAGUCAGACUGAAAGAAGGCUUACCCCCAAUUUCCACAGCAUCCGGAACGGCUACGAAAAGGCUGUUUGCGCUGAUCGUAACCAUUCAAGUUAAUGUGUCAGUUUCCACCGGUUUCUGUCCGUUCCGCUGCGGAUCGCCGGACUCCACAGAUGAUCGCAAGAGUUCUAUUUUUUCUGGACGCGGGAGCAUGCCAGAUAAAUUCAGCACAGAUUAACCUGUCUCUGUAAGCCAAAGUCAGAGCUUAGUCCACAUACUCAGCAUAGAGUCAAACAAGGCAUGUCCGUCUUUGCCAGGGUUACCUCUGUCACCGGAUUCCAUGGACAGGAUCUCAAGGUGCAGCUGGCGGGAGGGUCUGUGGUUCAAAGGCCUAAAAGCUCUACCUCUGCUCUGAUGAUGUAGUUCUGUUGCUUUCAUGAGCUUUUGGUAAGGACCUUGAGAACGAGGUCAUGGCUGGAGUCAACUGAGGUGGUCCCAGGAUGAGAUGAGGACAAAACAACCUGAAUGCAGCUCUUUGAAAGUCUGUGUUGUUCAUCCUCUGGGUGGCAGGAUCACCUACAGUAAAAACCUCAGAAAUCUUUAUUCCUGAUGUCUCAUUUAGACUGAGCAUUUAGUUUUACUAUGCGCUCUGUAUCGCUGCUAGCUUGAGGUCAGUGUGUCAAGACUAGAUUAACAUUCAGAGCAAAUUUAUUGGAUGCUAAGGUUGGCUCAUAUUAACCUCAGUGUUGACAACUCCAAAAGGACAGAGCUCACACCACCGAACCUACAACCCUUCAGCUCCCCACAUAUCAAAUCAGAUAACAGACCUCUACUGUACUUUAAAGCCUCAAUAUGAAUUUCAAUCUAUCGAGAAACUCCUUACAGGAGCUCUGAUGGUUUGAAUCAAUGAUCACGUAUCCAGAUGCACAUCGCACAGAUCAUUAUCCACACAGAAUUGAUUUAAUGUGACCUGAAUUUCAGGGAAAUGACAGAUGUGUGGUGAGAACCAUCAACAUGGAGCUGGAAACACGACUCGUUAUUAAGAAACUGCCAUAAAGUGUAUGUUAGAGGUGUGAUGUGUCAGCUGAGUGAGUGUGUGUUUGUGUGUGUGUGUGCUGGUUUAUGUGUGUGUCCCACUGGUAUGAAAGGUGCUGCUGUCAGCUGCCUUCUCUGCUCCUCUGGUAAUGGAUUUGACCCUGUGUUUUGUGUGUGUGUGUGUGUGUGUGUGUGUGUGUGUGUGUGUGUGUGUGUGUGUGUGUGUGUGUGUGUGUGUGUGUGUGUGUGUGUGUGUGUGUGUGUGUGUGUGUACAAGAAAGGCUAAAAGCAAAUUCACACCACUGCAAUGUGAUCUGAGGUGUGAAAGUGGGAACUUCCGGACAUUACAGUGACCAGGUGAGAACAGGGGCACACUGUAACCAUACCAUGGGUGUGGUAAGUGGGGGGGUGGACCUGAUUACCCAGGGCCCGGGUAGGGAGAGGGGCCCAUGAAAAUCCAGAUUUUUUUUUUUUUUGGAGGCACAAAAGGCACAAAAUGGUUUAGUCCGCCCGACAACGACCAGUGCCAAGUGUAACGUCACUGAGCCUAGUCUGAAUGACCUGGGGGUCAUGCUGCCCAAAAAGCAUAAAUCGGGGAAUCAGAAGAAGAAAGAAAAAGAAACAGGACAGAAGGAGGGGAGGCAGUUUUGACUGCUUAUCUCCCAAAGGUGAACCCAGUUUCUUUGUUCUAAUCAGACGGCGGUCCCUUUUACAACGCAGACGUUUCCUAUUUUCAGAGGUGACAAUAACGACAGUCCAAGUCAGAUUACACCACAUUCCUCUCCUCAUUCCUCUUGUUUAGAAUCAUCUAGACGUCUAGAGAGGGAUAGAGAAGGAGAGAGAGUGUGUUUAUAUGUGGUGUAUAUUUAAAUAUGUGUGGACAGGCCAGCUGACGGUCUUGUCUAGGCCCGGGAAAAGAUAAUGUUAGAUGCCCUCCCAACCCUUUGUCUUCCUCCUCCUAGUAUAUAGGUAGAUAAUAUACCCUGACACAUCUCCUUUCUUUCCUCACUUGUUUUCUGACUCCUGACACCUGACUAUUGCUUGAUCGCCCUCCUCUCUACAUACAGGAUAUCUGAAUUGGGCAUGUAACGUCAUAAAUUUCAAAAUAAAACACCAUAUGCUAACUCCCGACUGUGUAUCAGUUCGUGUAGAUAAGAAAUACGUCCUGGUUCUGUAUUUAUCAGUAACACAGAACAAUCUGAUGGUCAAUCCCUGAACCAUGUGGACUCCAACAGGACUUUGAACUGCUAACUCUGUCUAAAGGUAACAGCACAGCAUAAAGGAACACAGUUUAUUUUAUUAAACACCAGUAAACCUGCAAAAACCCAAACUGUAAUAUCCAAGGCUUUUUCACAUACAGUAGAAACUUAACAGUCAAUUAUAUCUCAAUUGGCAGGAAACGACCACCAAUUAGAAAGAAUACAAAUAAUAAAACUAAAGUAGCUCAAACAUUAGGCCUUUAUAUCUUUUUUUCCACAAAUAGGACUAUUUUAACAAUCUAAAAAAAAAAAUCCACAGUUUGAUGAGGGCCCAGUUGUGGGUCGCCCUCUGGGCCCCCCUCUUCCCUGGGCCCGGAAAAGCAGACCUGUUUGUCCCCCUCUAUUGGAUAUGAGGAUAAAACAGUGGAAGUGUUUCUGUGAUCCAUGAGGUUUAUAUGAGGUGAAUAAAUGUUGGUUCAGUUGAUCUUCAGGACCACGGCAGCUCUAAUCACCUCUGCUCAUUGGAGUUUGAGAGUCUAAAGUUCACAUCGCUGCUCCUCUUACUGGAAUAUACAAAAUCUUGAUAACCUUUCCCAGAUCUGAUCAGGUCCAAAGUCUUAAGAUGGGUGUAACCAACAUAUACUGAGCUGACUUUAUAUCAGAGUUCAGUUCGGGAAAUUAAACCCAGUCAGUCAUUGACAGCGAGUGUUGAAAUGGCGCAGAGAGGAGUUCAUCUGGACCUUGAAUCUUUCUCUUGUUCCAUCUGUUUGGAUCUACUGAAGGAUCCGGUGACUGUUUCCUGUGGACACAGCUUCUGCAUGAGCUGUAUUCAAACCCACUGGGAUACUGAGGAUGUGAGGAUGAUCUACAGCUGUCCUCAGUGCAGACGGAAAUUCAGACGAAGGCCUGUCCUGUUGAAAAGCACCAUGUUAGCAGGUGUAGUGGAGGAAGUGAAGAAGAGUGGACUCCAAGCUGCUCCUGAUGAUCCCUCUGUUGCUGGACCGGAAGAUGUGGCCUGUGAUUUCUGCAGUGGGAGAAAACUGAAAGCUGUCAAGUCCUGUCUGCAAUGUCUGGUUUCUUACUGCCAGAUUCACCUCCAGCCUCAUUUUGAAUCACCUUCAUUUAAGAAACACAAGCUGGUGGAGCCCUCCAAGAAGCUCCAAGAGAACAUCUGCUCUCAUCAUGGUGAGGUGAUGAAGAUCUUCUGCCGCACUGAUCAGAAGUCUAUCUGUUCUCUCUGUUGUUUGAGCCAACACAAAGACCACGACACAGUCUCAGCUGAAGCAGAAAGGACUGAGAGGCAGAAAGAUCUGGAGGAGAGUCGAGAAAACAUCCAGCAGAGAAUCCAGGACAGAGAGGAAGAUGUGAAGCUGCUCCAACAGGAAGUGGAGGCUAUCAACGGCUCUGCUGAUAAAGCAGUGAAACACAGCCAGGAGAUCUUCAGCCAGCUGAUCCGUCUCAUGGAGAAACGCCGCUCUGACGUUGAGCAGCAGGUCAGAUCUCAGCAGAAGUGAGUCGAGUCAAAGAGCUUCAGGAGAAGCUGGAGAAGGAGAUCACUGAGCUGAAGAGGAAAGACGCUGAUCUGCAGAAGCUCUCACUCACAGAGGACCACAACCAGUUUCUGCACAGCUACCCCUCACUGUCAGGACCGGGUCAACCUGCAGACUCAUCCAGAAUCAACAUCUGUCCUCAGAGAUACUUUGAGGAGGUGACAGCAGCUGUGUCAGAGGUCAGUGAUAUACUCAAGGAUCUUCUGAGAGAGACGUGGACAAACAUCUCACAGGCAGUGACUGAAGUGGAUGCUUUACUGUCAGAACCAGAACCAGAACCAGAGCC